GGGCCCGUUGCCUAGCCAGGAUUAAGGCGCCGGCCUUCGGAGCCGGAGAACCAGGGUUCAAAUCCCUGCGGGCCCGCCA
rnacentral:tRNA from 1 species